UCUCGAUAACGUAAAAGUGAAUUCAAAGUUUGUAUGGAGUUGGAACGUUUGCCGCUAGGGGCGCUGUUCCAACUGCAUACAAAUUUGAGUUAACUUUUACGAUAUCGA
rnacentral:pre_miRNA from 9 species